rnacentral:lncRNA from 1 species
AAUAUUUAUUAAAAAGCUAAUAAUAGGAUCUAACUUCUUUCAAAAUCUCAAAAUAAAAACAUAAAAAUAUAGUGAAUAGCAUAAAAAAAUCCAAACUAGUCUUGAAUCAUAUUGCCUCAAAAUUUUAGAGACCUUCUUUCUACAAAUUUACUUGGAUCUUCCUCAUCACAGCUUCAUUUUUUGUAUAGAAAGGCUUGUUAAAAAGCUAAUAAUAGGAUCUAAUUUUCUUUAAAAUUUUCAAAAUAAAAAGAUAAAAAUGUAUUAAAUGGCAUAAAUUUUUUUAAUUUUGUCUUAAAUUUCUAUACU